CGGGGACAGGGAGCGGAGANNNNNNNNNNUGCUGGAGUGGGGUUCUGUGCUUUACAUGCCCCAGGGCAUGGCUCAAUCUGGCAAACCCUGGAGUGAAGCUGCUUUCAGCGUGUGGAGACUGAGUGCCACCGACAGCCUGUUGUCUGUUCGUGCUCAGAGAGUUAUGUGGAAGGACAGGAGUGACUCAGUAAUAGGAAGUAUUAGUUGCACUGAGGCAAAACCAGAAAGAUACACCACAAAGAAGCACCAACUGCCUGGUAUCUUUAAGCUUUGCUUCUGAGAGUAUUUUGUUCUGUAGUUUAUCACUUGCCUGCUCAAGUUUGUUUGGAACUUCCAUACUGCUAAAUAGGACAACUGUUCUGUGUGAGGAGGAGGAGUUAGGUGGCAAAACUUGCUCUCCUUUGGAGUCCAUUUGAAAUAUAGUGACUGAUGAAGGCCAAGGAGCAAUUCUGCAAUUGUUUAUUCGCUGUAUGUGUCCAUGACCUGGAAGAAGCGUGCAGGAAGGGGCUAAAGCAGAAAUGCUUCUGAGAUGGCACAAAGUGUGUGUUGGAGGCAGACAGGAGGAGUGGGCAGAUGGCAGUCAGAACAAAACAGGGAGUUCAAUAACUUGGGACAGCAGUGAGCUGCUCUAACUGGAGAACACCCUUCUAACCAUAAAGGGGAGCUGCUCUGUCUAAGAUUGAGUGUAAGACAUAAAUGAUCCUCCAAAGAAGCUUU
rnacentral:lncRNA from 1 species